GAUGAAGAACGUAGCGAAAUGCGAUAAGUAGUGUGAAUUGCAGAAUUCAGUGAAUCAUCGAAUCUUUGAACGCACAUUGCGCCCCUUGGUAUCCCGAGGGGCAUGCCUGUUCGAGCGUCAUUUCACCACUCAAGCCUGGCUUGGUGUUGGGCGACGUCCCCUUUGGGGACGCGCCUCGAAACGCUCGGCGGCGUGGCACCGGCUUUAAGCGUAGCAGAAUCUUUCGCUUUGGAAGUCGGGGCCCCGUCUGCCGGAAGACCUACUCGCAAGGUUGACCUCGGAUCAGGCAGGGAUACCCGCUGAACUUAAGCAUAUCAAUAAAGCGGAGGA
rnacentral:misc_RNA from 1 species